UAAGGAAUAUUGGUCAAUGGACGCAAGUCUGAACCAGCCAUGCCGCGUGAAGGAUGAAGGUCCUCUGGAUUGUAAACUUCUUUUAUAUGGGACGAAACCUGGGAAUUCUUUUCCAAUUGACGGUACCAUAAGAAUAAGCACCGGCUAACUCCGUGCCAGCAGCCGCGGUAAUACGGAGGGUGCAAGCGUUAUCCGGAUUCACUGGGUUUAAAGGGUGCGUAGGAGGGUAGGUAAGUCAGUGGUGAAAUCUUCGAGCUUAACUCGGAAACUGCCGUUGAUACUAUCUAUCUUGAAUACCGUGGAGGUGAGCGGAAUAUGUCAUGUAGCGGUGAAAUGCUUAGAUAUGACAUAGAACACCAAUUGCGAAGGCAGCUCGCUACACGAAUAUUGACUCUGAGGCACGAAAGCGUGGGGAUCAAACA
rnacentral:rRNA from 1 species